rnacentral:lncRNA from 1 species
GGUCUAAGGAUCACUUGUACAACUCCCACUAAAGCAUAAUCGACUGACAUACAAAUAAAGCUCCAUCAAAUAUUCUCUCAUAGGUCAAUUUAGUGAAUUCAUUCUCUAAUGAGUACUUAUAUUCUUGUAUUAGUAUCACCAUAUAAGUAGUUGUAAGAUCAACCAUCCUCUCCAUCGAGCAUACAUAGAAUGUGCCAGUCUUACAGGUAUC